UGGCGACAGAAGAUGUGAAAUUCUACUUCCUUGGCUCAUACCCAGACACCUCUUCAUGCCCGCUUGCCCUCUCCAGGGACAGUGCCAUGCACUUCCAACUGAGCAGGAUGCCUCUGACUAUCUGACCACCACCCACCGUGCUUGAGCUCCAUGCCUCUUACUCACCAACCUUCCCACGCCCCACACCUGAGCCUGGAAGGCUCACUCCUGGAAUUUGAACUUGGAAGACAGGUGAUAAGGCGCCCAUACUCCCUGUUUAGGUAGCCCAGUGACCUGCUCACCGCCUACCCUAGCACUCCCUCCCCAGAUACCAGCAGAAUCCUGUGGUAGUUUCCAAGGUCAAUACGCUGAGUCCCGGAAGUGCAGAGACUGACCCCAGUUUGAUUGAUGUCUGAAUGAGACCAGUUCACUCAACCGAAUGCCCCUGUCUCGUCAGCCAGGAGCUCACCAAACGGGUCUCUGAGAGGAUUGGGCCAGAGAUGAAAAAGAAAAGAGAAGAGAGACAAAGUGCGGGGACAGGAGGGACUCAGUCUGCUGGUGGCAAAACUGAGA